GAUGAAGAACGUAGCGAAAUGCGAUAAGUAAUGUGAAUUGCAGAAUUCAGUGAAUCAUCGAAUCUUUGAACGCACAUUGCGCCCGCCAGUAUUCUGGCGGGCAUGCCUGUUCGAGCGUCAUUUCAACCAUCAAGCCCCCGGCUUGUGUUGGGGACCUGCGGCUGCCGCAGGCCCUGAAAAGCAGUGGCGGGCUCGCUGUCACACCGAGCGUAGUAGCAUACAUCUCGCUCUGGGCGUGCUGCGGGUUCCGGCCGUUAAACCACCUUCAUAACCCAAGGUUGACCUCGGAUCAGGUAGGAAGACCCCCUGAACUUAAGCAUAUCAAUAAGCGGAGGA
rnacentral:misc_RNA from 1 species